rnacentral:tRNA from 1 species
UUAAUUGAAGCCAAAUCAGAGGCAUAUCAUUGUUAAUGAUAAUAUUGAAUAAUUAUUCCAAUUAAG